CAGUAGCCGCGGUAACACGUAGGGUGCGAGCGUUAAUCGGAAUUACUGGGCGUAAAGCGUGCGCAGGCGGUUAUAUAAGACAGAUGUGAAAUCCCCGGGCUCAACCUGGGACCUGCAUUUGUGACUGUAUAGCUAGAGUACGGUAGAGGGGGAUGGAAUUCCGCGUGUAGCAGUGAAAUGCGUAGAUAUGCGGAGGAACACCGAUGGCGAAGGCAAUCCCCUGGACCUGUACUGACGCUCAUGCACGAAAGCGUGGGGAGCAAACAGGAUUAGAUACCCCCGUAGUCCCUGUCUCUUAUAC
rnacentral:rRNA from 1 species